AUUGAACGCUGGCGGCAUGCCUUACACAUGCAAGUCGAACGGUAACAGGUCUUCGGAUGCUGACGAGUGGCGAACGGGUGAGUAAUACAUCGGAACGUGCCCGAGAGUGGGGGAUAACGAGGCGAAAGCUUUGCUAAUACCGCAUACGAUCUCAGGAUGAAAGCGGGGGACCGCAAGGCCUUGCGCUCACGGAGCGGCCGAUGGCAGAUUAGGUAGUUGGUGGGAUAAAAGCUUACCAAGCCGACGAUCUGUAGCUGGUCUGAGAGGACGACCAGCCACACUGGGCCUGAGACACGGCCCAGACUCCUACGGGAGGCAGCAGUGGGGAAUUUUGGACAAUGGGCGCAAGCCUGAUCCAGCCAUGCCGCGUGCAGGAUGAAGGCCUUCGGGUUGUAAACUGCUUUUGUACGGAACGAAAAGACUCUGGUUAAUACCUGGGGUCCAUGACGGUACCGUAAGAAUAAGCACCGGCUAACUACGUGCCAGCCGCCGCCGUAAGAC
rnacentral:rRNA from 1 species